GCUGUAGCUCAGUGGCAGGGCAGCUGCUUGGCAUGCAGAAGGUACUGAGUUCAAUUCCAGGUCGUGCU